rnacentral:lncRNA from 1 species
AUUUUCCCACGGAGUAAGAACCAGAACGCCAGCUGCCCCAGCGGCGCUCGCACCAUCCACCCUUGAAAUUGCCGUAGAAGGCAAGACUAUACAGUGCCCAGAGAAAGCAGGCUCUGGCCAGGCGUGGUGGCUCACACCUGUAAUCUCAGAACACUGGGAGGCCAAGGCGGGAAGAUCCCUUGAGACCAGGAGUUUGAGACCAGCGUGAAUAAGAUGGUGAGACCCCGUCUCUACAAAAAGUAAAAAAAUUAGCUGGC